GCUGGGUGUGGUGGCGCACGCCUGUAAUCCCAGCUUCUAGGGAGCUGAGGCAGGAUAAUCACUUGAACCCGGGAGGCGGAGGUUGCAGUGAGCCUAGAUUGUGCCACUGCACUCCAGCCUGGGCGACAGAGUGAGACUCUGUCUCAA
ensembl:misc_RNA Metazoa_SRP Metazoan signal recognition particle RNA